AUGGUGCCACAGACUCUGUUCCUCAUGUCCCUGUUGCUCUGGGCCUCUGGUGCCAGUGGGGACAUUGUGCUGACCCAGUCUCCAGCCUCUCUGGCUGCGUCUCCAGGAGAAAGGGUCACCAUCAACUGCAAGUCCAGUCAGAGUGUGAGCAACUACUUAGCCUGGUACCAGCAGAAACCAGGACAGGCUCCUAAGCUGCUCAUCUACUAUGCAUCUAACAGGGCAUCUGGGGUCCCUGACCAGUUCAGUGGCAGUGGGUCUGGGACAGACUUCACUCUCACCAUCAGCAGCCUCCAGGCUGAAGAUACCGCUGUUUAUUAUUGUCAGCAGUAUAGUAGCUAUGAACCCACAGUGCUUCAUCCUCGAACACAAACCUCCCCAGGGCUGCAGGCCAGUGCCAGCAGGGACAUUAUGAUGACUCAGUCUAAAGAUUUCCUAGCUGAAUCUCCAGGAGAAACAAUCACCAUCAACUGCAAGUCUAGUGAAAGCCUUUUCUACAGCCCCAACCAGAAAAACUACUUAGCCUGGUACCAGCAGAAACCAGGACGGCCUCCUAAACUGUUCAUCUCCUGGACUUUCCACCCAGGCAUCUCGGAUCCCCGAUUGGUUCAGUGGCUGUGGGUCUGGAACAGAAUUCACUGUCACUCUCAGCGGCCUCCAGGCUGA